rnacentral:misc_RNA from 1 species
AGGAGCCGUAUGCGGUAGUUCCGCACGUACGGAUCUGGGCGGGGGGCACGGAGAAAUCCGUGUCCCUACCGCGAC